AUGGAGGAUUAGUUAGAGGGGGAGGAGAAACAUUGGGGCUAUGAUUCAUCUGAUGAGAAUUAUUCUUAUGAUGAAGAUUCUGAUGUGCAGAUGGUGAGGAGGAAGAGCCAGUAUCCAAGAUACAAUAAUGACACAGAAAUUCCACACUUUUCAUUGACAAUGGUGUUCAAGAGCAAGAAUCAACUUGUCAAAGCAUUGAAGAGAUAUAGAAUUGUGACAAAAAGGAGCAUUGUGUUUUUGAAGUCAGAGUCACACAGAGUUAGGGCUAAGUGUCGAUGGCCUAGGUGCCCUUGGCUGAUUUAUGGAGCCAAAACCUCAAGAACAAGCAUGUUUUAAAUUAUAACUUUCAAUGAUGAGCACCAUUGUGCACAAAACAGGGAGAACAAACUGGUCACAGCAAAGGUUAUUGCCCAAAGAUAUGAGCAUUUUUUUAGAAAUCCAAUGUGGAAAAUUGAGAGCAUGAAAUCAACAGUUCUUCAGGACAUGUUUGCUGAUGUAUCAACUUCAAAGUGCAAGCAUGAAAAGAAGCUUUUCAUGGACAAGUUAAGGGCUAGAAUGAAGAAUGAUUACACUAGGGUUUUUGAUUACCAGCUGGAGCUACUUAGAAGUAAUCGUAGAAGCACUAUUGCAGUUUGUUUGGAUCCAACUGUUGGGGAACACAGUAUUUCAAAAAAUUUCCUACGAACACGCAAGAUCUAUCUAGGAGAUGCAUAG
rnacentral:rRNA from 1 species